UAGGGAAUCUUCCGCAAUGGACGCAAGUCUGACGGAGCAACGCCGCGUGAGUGAAGAAGGAUUUCGGUUCGUAAAACUCUGUUGUUAGAGAAGAACAGCGCAUAGAGUAACUGUUAUGCGUGUGACGGUAUCUAACCAGAAAGCCACGGCUAACUACGUGCCAGCAGCCGCGGUAAUACGUAGGUGGCAAGCGUUGUCCGGAUUUAUUGGGCGUAAAGCGAGCGCAGGCGGCCAAUUAAGUCUGAUGUGAAAGCCCCCGGCUCAACCGGGGAGGGUCAUUGGAAACUGGUUGACUUGAGUGCAGAAGAGGAGAGUGGAAUUCCAUGUGUAGCGGUGAAAUGCGUAGAUAUAUGGAGGAACACCAGUGGCGAAGGCGACUCUCUGGUCUGUAACUGACGCUGAGGCUCGAAAGCGUGGGUAGCAAACAGG
rnacentral:rRNA from 1 species